UACGUAGGGGGCAAGCGUUGUCCGGAUUCAUUGGGCGUAAAGAGCGUGUAGGCGGCCAGGUAGGUCGGUUGUGAAAACUGGAGGCUCAACCUUCAGAGGUCGACCGAAACCAUCUGGCUAGAGUCCGGGAGAGGAGAGUGGAAUCCUGGUGUAGCGGUGAAAUGCGCAGAUAUCAGGAGGAACACCCAGUAGCGAAGGCGGCACUCUGGGCCGGAACGACGCUGAGGAGCGAAAGCGUGGGGAGCGAACAGG
rnacentral:rRNA from 1 species